rnacentral:rRNA from 1 species
GAUGAACGCUGGCGGCGUGCCUAAUACAUGCCAGUCGAGCGAACGGACGAGAAGCUUGCUUUUCUGAUGUUAGCGGCGGACGGGUGAGUAACACGUGGAUAACCUACCUAUAAGACUGGGAUAACUUCGGGAAACCGGAGCUAAUACCGGAUAAUAUUUUGAACCGCAUGGUUCAAAAGUGAAAGACGGUCUUGCUGUCACUUAUAGAUGGAUCCGCGCUGCAUUAGCUAGUUGGUAAGGUAACGGCUUACCAAGGCAACGAUGCAUAGCCGACCUGAGAGGGUGAUCGGCCACACUGGAACUGAGACACGGUCCAGACUCCUACGGGAGGCAGCAGUAGGGAAUCUGCCGCAAUGGGCGAAAGCCUGACGGAGCAACGCCGCGUGAGUGAUGAAGGUCUUCGGAUCGUAAAACUCUGUUAUUAGGGAAGAACAGAUGUGUAAGUAACUGUGCACGUCUUGACGGUACCUAAUCAGAAAGCCACGGCUAACUACGUG